GCCCCCGUAGCUCAGUGGAUUAGAGCACCAGCCUCCGAAGCUGGCCGCGGAGGUUCGAUUCCUCUCGGGGGUG
rnacentral:tRNA from 1 species